GGUUCUUAAACGAAAGACGGCUUCGGCUGUCGCUCUUAGAUGAUCCCGCGGCGUAUUAGUUAGUUGGUGGGGUAAAGGCCUACCAAGACCAUGAUACGUAGCCGACCUGAGAGGGUGAUCGGCCACACUGGGACUGAGACACGGCCCAGACUCCUACGGGAGGCAGCAGUAGGGAAUCUUCCACAAUGGGUGAAAACCUGAUGGAGCAAUGCCGCGUGAAUGAAGAAGGUCUUCGGAUCGUAAAGUUCUGUUAUUAGAGAAGAACAAGUCAAGGAGUAACUGUCUUGACUUUGACGGUACCUAACCAGAAAGUCACGGCUAACUACGUG
rnacentral:rRNA from 1 species